GGCGACGGGUGAGUAACGCGUGGGUAACCCUGCCCUAUAGAGGGGGAUAACGUUCGGAAACGAACGCUAAUACCGCAUAAACCAUAAGGAGCUGCAUGGCUCUGAUGGCAAAGAUUUAUCGCUAUAGGAUGGACCUGCGUUGGAUUAGCUAGUUGGUGAGAUAACAGCUCACCAAGGCGACGAUCCAUAGCCGGCCUGAGAGGGUGAACGGCCACAUUGGGACUGAGACACGGCCCAAACUCCUACGGGAGGCAGCAGUGGGGAAUAUUGCACAAUGGGCGCAAGCCUGAUGCCAGCGACGCCGCGUGAAGGAAGAAGGCCUUCGGAUUGUAAACUUCUAUCAGCAGGGAAGAAUAAAUGACGGUACCUGACUAAGAAGCCCCGGCUAACUACGUGCCAGCAGCGGC
rnacentral:rRNA from 1 species